UCCUGACCAACAGUUUGCACGUACGUGUUCAAAGUGGCUUUGAUGGACCCUGCAAUGUUGGCUGGGCCAAGCAUGAAGUCGCGGCAAUCAGCCUAUGGCCUGACAAACCACGCUGCCCGCCUCGCCGCCGAAAACCCUCGCACUAAUCGCCAAUCAGCGAAUCGAGUUCACGGUGAAUCUGAAGGAGAGGGAGGACGAGGGGCACUGGAUGAUCAAGCUCGCUCUUCAUGCAACUGCCUAACGAGCGAAUAGGACGAGCGAGGCGCCGGUGUCGACGAUGGAUGCCCUCGAGGCCUCGACAAAAAUCGCUGGAAUCCGCUGUCUCCGUGUUGGGAGAACGACACUGAGGUGGUUCUGGGAGGCGUGCGUGGUGGCGUCAAGGCCAUCGUCUUCCUGCUCUUUGUCAGGCGACACAUAGCCUGUCGGCCUACUUCUCUUAACGGCUGUAUCGGCCACAUCGCCGAUAGGUCGAUCUGUCUACGUCGAGUCUGAGCAUCAAAGCAGAGCAAGAGAGGAGCCCCGCGACACUCAUGCUUCCACCAUCGGCCGUGGUUCCAGAACCAACACUAGCCUCUGGCCAAGUGACCCGGCCUGCCCAUCAUGUCGAUUGCCAAAUCUCCCUCACGAACAAAAAGAAGGCGGCGAUGGCUGCUAAAAUUUUGGAUCGGACACGGCUCCUGAAGAAUAGAACGGCGCAUCGAGAUCUGCAGGGAGGGCCAUGCUGCCUCGCGUGAAAGUGAAAGCCCAACCUAAACCGUCCUGGCGGACAUGACAAGUUGGAUGGCACGAGAUUGACUCCCAUAGGUUGGUAGUCAAUGGUGCGUACCAAAGUGCUACCAAUCUGCCCCAAGUUGUUGCAUCAAGGCGGUGGAUGGGGCACACACCUCCUUGGACCAAUACUUCCCCAGGUGAUCCCGUGCGACGAGCACGUCUAUACCCUACAAGCGGCUACUGCCGCACCCUCUCCGGUGGAGGCGGCAAAGUCGUGGGCGUGUUCUGUAGCUUAGGGCCGCACCAUGGGCAACCCGAUCGUCGCUCUCACGGCCACCGCCGCAGACUUUGUGGUAGGCCUGCUUAUCCUCGCCAAGCAUUGUAGGUCGAGAUGACACACAUAAUGGUAUGCAUAAUUCAACAAGUUUGCUGAAACAUGUACCACUUUCUUCAUUAAAAAAAAUAGAUGUCCUAAAUAAGCUCUAAUAUGUCACCAUGAUUGUUCUUAUUGUUAAAGAACGGGGAAAAGUUCUUUCAAAUAAUUUACUUAUUUUUAGAUUUUUCUCCUCAUGCAUUUUUACUAGCUAGCUGGUGAUGUUGAGUGAUCCUUUUCCAUAUGAAUGUGCAUAGUAUGUAAUUUUUUUCAGAAAUAUUCUUCUGAGGGAUUUUAUUGUGUCACGGGUAAAUACGAUCUCAGGUUCCCAUGUACUGCCAAAGUAUCAUUCACAAGAAUUUAUUAUAUUGUUAUCAGCUAUGAUUUAUGCUAUUUUUUAACAUUUCGCUAAAUGUAAGACUAUAUCAUUAUUUGUUGGUUAAAAUUUUAUAUUAUAUAUUUGCAUAUGUGUACCGUUAUUUAGUUAACAUGAUAUGUACAGGAGAAUUAGGUGGGACUACAUUAUUAAUAAUCAUUAUAGGUCUUAGCUCGAUUUAAAGGUUGUAAUUUUGUUACUCUGAGGCAAAUGCACAUGCCUUUUUGCUCACUGGAAGAGCAGGAAAAGGUGAAACUUGAGACGGAUCUGACACAUGCGUUGAUUCAUAUUUUACCAAUGGUGCUUAGUGUUUCUCUUGUCGAGUACAAGGAGAGAGCUUCAAAUGUUAAUUCAUCACUGUUUUGUAAAUAUUAUUUGCAAAGCUACAUUUUCUAAGGUGUAGCAACGCAUGGUUGGAACCUUCCAUGUUGUCGAGUUUUCAAAAUCACAAUGGCAAUGGUUUCAAUAAAAAUGAGUUGAACUUCCAAUGUGUUUGAUUUGCCAAAGGCCAACAAAUGCUACCAAUCUAGCGCCACUUCAAUAAGAAACGCUAAAGUUUGUAUGUCUGGUAAGCACUAUUUUAAAUUUUUUUUCCUGGUAAGCACUUUUUUGUGGUUGAUUUAAGGGUCCAAAAAUCAGAAUUAUGUAAGAAUCAUGAAAUUUCUGUUGUUGGGGAUCAAUUUCCUAUGAAUGAGUUAUUGGUCUGCCAUUUUAGUGUAUGAAUAUGACUAGGAUAGCGAUAUUUUGUCAACUCCAUUAUUUAUAGCCAUUUAAUGUGUUUUGUGUAAUAAUAUAUUAGUUGCAAGCAUGUGUGAUGUGAAGCAGGCAUGAUGGGACAUGUGCAGAGCGACCGAAAGUAUGAGGCAUGGUGUAUGAAAUAUGUGCGGAGAGGGACCCACGGAUGGCGGCCAUCAUCUCCCGCACAAGAGAUUAGUUUAAACAUCCCCUUUCCCUGGCAGGGUUAAACGACAAAUAUGUCGUGAGGCGGUCAAGCUCAUCCCCUUGGCAUUGAUAAUGUCUAGACGUGAUGUGACUAGAUGGAUAACUCAGCCAUGAUCGGGGAAGGCCAGAAGGAGGAUAGGCGGUGACACGUGUAGGGACGGUUUGUUUAAAUAGAGGUCAUGGAAUGAGAGCGGGGGAUGUGUCCUAGAGUCAUGCCUAUUAUACUAGGGCCUACACAAUAAUGUCAAGCGCUCGCCACGGCAGGACGUCGGGCCGAGCAGCAGCGGGCUCUCGCAGGGCGCGGCCACCAUCGGGAUCGCAUCAGGCUCAGAGAAGUCGGCAGGGUGGAGGACGUAUCCGUGGAGCUGCAGGACGCGGCGUCAUCCGUGGCGGAAGGGCAGAAGGAGGCGCGCGCGAGCGUGGGAGGGCGUGGGUAGCCCCUGCGCACCAUGGACGGGGCCGGCCCGCUGGACGAGCGGGGCAGCGGCGGCAGCAGGGGAGACGGAGGCCCGCGGGUAUGCGUGCCGGCAACGGCUGCAGCAUGGGGUGUCGCUGGCGGUAGAACGCCACAGGCGUGGGGGGCAAUUGGGUAAGGAGUGCCGGCAGGGUAGGCGGGGGCGGCGCGCUGCGGCGGGGCUGGGGCCGGCGCCUCGCGACAGAGGGUGGCGGCGCGCUGGAGGUGGAGAUGCGAUUGGGAGUUUUAUUUUUCUAUCGCUCGUGGCUAUUCGCGUUGACUUGAUCGGACUGCGAGUUUAUUCCUAUAAACUUUAAGGGCUUUUCUGGAAAAAUACUAAUGAUGGACG